CCUACGGGAGGCAGCAGUGGGGAAUUUUGGACAAUGGGCGAAAGCCUGAUCCAGCAAUGCCGCGUGUGUGAUGAAGGCCUUCGGGUUGUAAAGCACUUUUGGCGGGAACGAAAAGGACUGUGCCAAUACCACGGUUCGAUGACGGUACCCGCAGAAUAAGCACCGGCUAACUACGUGCCAGCAGCCGCGGUAAUACGUAGGGUGCAAGCGUUAAUCGGAAUUACUUGGCGUAAAGAGUGCGCAGGCGGUUUUGCAAGACCGAUGUGAAAUCCCCGGGCUUAACCUGGGAACUGCAUUGGUGACUGCAAGGCUAGAGUGUGUCAGAGGGAGGUGGAAUUCCGCAUGUAGCAGUGAAAUGCGUAGAUAUGCGGAGGAACACCGAUGGCGAAGGCAGCCUCCUGGGAUAACACUGACGCUCAUGCACGAAAGCGUGGGGAGCAAACAGGAUUAGAUACCCUGGUAGUCCACGCCCUAAACGAUGUCUACUAGUUGUCGGGGAUUAAUUUCCUUGGUAACGCAGCUAACGCGUGAAGUAGACCGCCUGGGGAGUACGGUCGCAAGAUUAAAACUCAAAGGAAUUGACGG
rnacentral:rRNA from 1 species